rnacentral:rRNA from 1 species
CUUGAUUCUGUGGGUGGUGGUGCAUGGCCGUUCUUAGUUGGUGGAGUGAUUUGUCUGGUUAAUUCCGUUAACGAACGAGACCUUAGCCUACUAAAUAGUCGGUGCAAUCAUGAUUGUACCAACUUCUUAGAGGGACUUUGUAAGCAAAUACAAGGAAGUUUGAGGCAAUAACAGGUCUGUGAUGCCCUUAGAUGUCCUGGGCCGCACGCGUGCUACACUGACGCAUACAUCGAGCAUCUCCGGUUCCGCGAGGCAACCGGUAAUCAGCAAUAUGCGUCGUGAUGGGGAUAGAUCUUUGGAAUUAUUGAUCUUGAACGAGGAAUGCCCAGUAAUCGUAGUUCAUCAGACUGCGAUGAUUACGUCCCUGCCCUUUGUACACACCGCCCGUCGCUAGUACCGAUUUCGAGUGGUCCGGUGAACCUUUCGGACUGGGGAAGCCUUGAGUAACCCUGGAAAGUCAAGUAAACCACAUCACUAGAGAACUAAAAGUCGACACGAUU